CUCUCUUAAGGUAGCCAAAU
rnacentral:ncRNA from 2 species